UUUGAUCUAAUUUGACCCUUCGUAAACCUAAUUGCAAGGUAAACGAACGCGUUGGCGAAGUCGGUUCGGCGAUUCGUCGAGCCGGUGCAAAGUUAUUAAAGAAACGGACGUUUAGGCUUCGUUUCCGCCUGGAGGGCCGAGGCGACGUCGUAAAAUCCUGGAAACGGAUUUGAAGCAUCGUGACAAGAAACCGAAGACCUUUAAUUUUCGGAUCGCGGAUUGGAGGUCGUUUGGUGGUCGCGCGCGCGGGUUGGGUCGAGCCAAGCGGCGUGCGCCGCGGGAGGCCGAUUGCGAGUGACGACGAGCAAUCGGAACGCGAUAAAAUGUGACGCCCCGACUUCCCAGGGGGUCACCCAUCCUAGGGCUACUCCCGUCCUAGCACGCUUAACUCUCUUAACCUCUUGGGUCUAGCCACCACCCAAAAUGCUUAAGCCGGGUUAAGAGUUUAGCCCCAUUAUAUCUUAUAUAUAGGACUAUCUGGGGUCUCACAAUCUCCCCUCCUUUAAGCCCUGACGUCCUCGUCAGGCUCAGACUCACAAGUACCAGGCGAUGUGAGACCAGAUUCACUAACAUUUGCUAAGCACAACCCCGAAAGUGCAUUACGAGUCUCCGCCAUUCUUUGUGGUAGCGCAAGUCGAAACUCUACGACACUACGCGCUCCGACACCAUUCACCACUUAGCAUGCAAGAAUUCUCAUUUGCAUUUACUUUCCUGUAAGGGAACACACUCCGAUUCGAUCACCGGCAUUGCAUAGAAGCAAUAUCAUAGGUGCAUCGACCAAUCGCGAGUGCUCCAACUACAUAUGGAUCUUUGCUCUAUUGAGAGAUGGCCCACUCCGGCUUAUCUCGAAUCUCAACCCACAAAGAGCAUUAUCCUCAAGCUCUCCAAUUCUUCCAAUAUGACCCAGCCUGCCUGGGAAAUUUUUGUGCAGAGGGACCGGUUGCAUCACGCAACCCGCAACCACCAGCUACGGGGGACCGGUCCUUCCCUACCAGGGACUGGUCCCCGAGAGCAAAUCUUCUGUCACUAGCUUGAAACCUAGGGCUCCAAAAUGCAAAUUUUGCUAAGAGAUGGGUUUGAUCUAAAUUAACCCUCCGUAAACCUAAUUGCUAGGUAAACAAACACGCUGGCGAAGCCGAACCCACCAAUGUUCUUUAAACUAGGUUAAUACCUCUCUACCUAGGUUUUUAUUAACCCUAGGUUCAACAACACUAGAAUCAAUGUCAACCUAUGUUCAUGACGCUAGGUUGAUGCCACUCGAUCUAUUUGAUUCUAGGUCUACUCACGACCUAUGUUCUUUAACACUAAGUUAGAUGCCACUCGAUCUAUUUGACACCCUAGUUGUCCAUCGAGUAGUCUAUGGUUUUCACGUUCUUAUUUCCAACGUCAUGUUCUCUACGCAAUCUGGAGUUAUCCACCAAGUUCACAUGCAUAUAUAAUCUCACAAUGCUUUCUUAUUUCCAAUGCCAUGUUCUCUACGCAAUUUGGAAUUAUCAACCAAGUUCACAUGCAUAUAUAAUCUCACAAUGCUAAUCAUGCCCUUUAUAAUCUCACAAUGCUAUUCAUGCAUUUAUAAUCUCACAUAUCAUUUUAUAUGCACCUACUCAGCAUUUGCAUCAUAUUACUAUUAUCAUGCUUUACAUUAGUAUCAUGCAUUACUAGCAUUAUGUAAAUUGCUCACUAUGCAUUUCUACUUAGCACUUACAUUAACAUGCAUAAUUAUCAUGCAUUACACUAUUAUCAAGCAUUAUUUCGCACUUAUAUGCAUCAACAUGAACUCUUAACUUGCUUAGACAUAAAGGCGACCUAGUCGCUUCGGUAAGCACAACCCACCUUAACACGCGUUCCGAUUGCUUGUCGACACUUGCAAUCGGCCUCCCGCGGCACCCGGUGCCCAAUUCGGCCCGAACUCGAAAUUGCUCACCAACUGCGCAUCGCUUUGCAGUUCCGGAUAAAAAGGGUCUUUGUUUUGCUGCUACGGUGCUUCAAAUCCGUUCUGUCACAGCCCGCGACCACUCGCUUAUUUGGCCGAGGUCGCGGCGCCGACAGCGCCGAACGGACAAGGUUUCCCUUGUACUGCGGACAAAGUCUCCCCUGUACGUUCAAGGCAUCGCAAUCAAUACAAUACGAAUGUUCCAACCAGGAACUGAUAUCAAUCAAGAUUGCAUAAUGGAAGGUAUCAAACAACAUAAACACAUCCUAUGUUAUUACACGCAUUCACAUUCACAGAUUUUUACAUCACAGUUCUUUAUACAUUCUCUUUUUUUUUAUCCAAAUGCAAUCUAGUUAUUACAAAUUUAUUUACAAAUUGAUACAUUGUUUUUUUUUCAUUUUCUAUACCCCUAGCCACGUCGACGGGGUACUGCUAGCUCUGGUCUCUGGGUAGGGCGCUAUCUAUGGAGCUACGCCCUUUCCUCGCGCCGCCGCGCCGCUCACGUGCGAACCUGUACCCCCAAAAGCAACACGGGGGUGAGAACUAUAUAAAUAUAGUUCCCAGUGGGUACAGCCACCCAAGGGAAAAGCUCGACCAAAAGGUCCAAGGAGGCACUGCAAUCAUGUUAGUCCAAAAACAUCUAUAGAUAUAUAUCAAAAUGUUAAUAUGCAACUAACAGAUAACAUGCCACCCAAAAUGCUUAUGGGUUUCAGUUAUGUAAAGUUUUAAAUUACAGUGGAUUUCAUGUUUAGUUAGACUUACUAUCACUUGUGUUUGUUGCUUGCCUUCGUGCAAGCCAUGUAUAUUGAAAUGUGAUCCUGGGAAUUGUUUAAUUUCUUUAUACAUGUAUUCGUUGUUGUCGAGCCUUGGGCGAACAGAGGAGGUGCUGUUCGUUCGGCGUCUGUGCGCGGGCCCGGAUCGACCAAAUUGGCGAUAGCGGGACGUGACAGAUAAAGUGGUAUCAGUUUCAGUUAUACAGUUCAGUUUGAAAGUUUUAAAUUAUAGUAAUUUUUUUCAUGUUUAGCUAGCUUUACUAUCACUUGUGAUUGUUGCUUGCCUUCGUGCAAGCCAUGUAUACUGAAAUGUGAUCUUGGGAAUUGUUUAUUUCUUUAUACAUGUGUUCGUUGUUGUUGAGCCUUGGGCGAACAAAGGAGGUGCUGUUCGUUCGGCGUCUGUGUACGGGCCCGGAUCGACCAAAUUGGCGAUAGCGGGGCGUGACAGAUAGCCCGUCAUCCAGACCCUGGCUCAGCCGAGACUCAUCUCACACUUCCGGCUGGUAAUUGGCUCUGAUACCAUCUGUGACGCCCCGACUUCCCAGGGGGUCACCCAUCCUAGGGCUACUCCCGUCCUAGCACGCUUAACUCUCUUAACCUCUUGGGUCUAGCCACCACCCAAAAUGCUUAAGCCGGGUUAAGAGUUUAGCCCCAUUAUAUCUUAUAUAUAGGACUAUCUGGGGUCUCACAUAAAAGGUGGGUGGUGUCCAUCCCGAAGCAACCGGGCUCCCUUUUAUGUCUAAGUUUUAUAUUGAUCAAAUUGCAUAUUGACAUAUUGACAUCUUGCAUUAUAGGGUGAUAAAUGAUGGUUUGGUCCUAUACCUUGCAUGUUCUUUGGUAGAAUAAUGUAUUUGGCUUAAUACUUAUAUCUAGCAUGCUUGAGGUUUAUAUAUGUGAUGUGGAACCCUAUAAUGAGAUGAUAAGUGUGGAUGGAAAUUUAAUAAUGCAUUGGCUAUUGCAUUGGAAACUUGUAAAGAACGAGUGGCAUCUAGUUGAUAGUAAACAAAAGAACAAGUAGGCAUAUGUGAGUCAUAGUGUAUAUGAAACCUAUGGACUCUAUGAUGGUUGUAACCCUAGAGGAUAGGGUAUUCUCGAGACGAGGAUUGGAUCAUGCUCACGUCUGUUUUUAAAUCUUGUGAUGGAAGCCCCACACAAGUAGUGCGCUCCGGAGUUGGUCACG
rnacentral:lncRNA from 1 species